AGCGAACGCCGGCGGCAGGCCUAACACAUGCAAGUCGAACGAACUCUUCGGAGUUAGUGGCGGACGGGUGAGUAACACGUGGGAACGUGCCUUUAGGUUCGGAAUAACUCAGGGAAACUUGUGCUAAUACCGAAUGUGCCCUUCGGGGGAAAGAUUUAUCGCCUUUAGAGCGGCCCGCGUCUGAUUAGCUAGGUGGUGAGGUAAAGGCUCACCAAGGCGAGGAUCAGUAGCUGGUCUGAGAGGAUGAUCAGCCACGUUGGGACUGAGACACGGCCCAAACUCCUACGGGAGGCAGCAGUGGGGAAUCUUGCGCAAUGGGCGAAAGCCUGACGCAGCCAUGCCGCGUGAAUGAUGAAGGUCUUAGGAUUGUAAAAUUCUUUCACCGGGGACGAUAAUGACGGUACCCGGAGAAGAAGCCCCGGCUAACUUCGUG
rnacentral:rRNA from 1 species